CUCGAAAUCCUAGGAUUCAGUCCACCAACGAUCAACAAUGGUUUGCAUACGCAAAGCGACUAUCGACGACCUCCUUGCAAUGCAAGCUUGCAAUCUCCUCUGCCUCCCAGAGAACUACCAGAUGAAGUACUACCUCUACCACAUCCUCUCGUGGCCACAGCUCCUCUACGUCGCCGAAGAUUACAACGGCCGCAUCGUCGGCUACGUGCUCGCUAAGAUGGAGGAGGAAAGCUCCGAGUGCCACGGCCACAUCACCUCCCUUGCCGUGCUCCGGACGCACCGCAAACUCGGCUUGGCCACCAAGCUUAUGACUGCCGCGCAAAACGCCAUGGAGCAGGUGUUCGGGGCCGAGUACGUCUCGCUACAUGUGCGGAAGAGUAAUAGGGCAGCGUU
rnacentral:lncRNA from 1 species